rnacentral:rRNA from 1 species
AAUACUCUAGGAUAGUGGACGUUACUCGCAGAAUAAGCACCGGCUAACUCUGUGCCAGCAGCCGCGGUAAUACAGAGGGUGCGAGCGUUAAUCGGAUUUACUGGGCGUAAAGCGUGCGUAGGCGGCUUUUUAAGUCGGAUGUGAAAUCCCUGAGCUUAACUUAGGAAUUGCAUUCGAUACUGGGAAGCUAGAGUAUGGGAGAGGAUGGUAGAAUUCCAGGUGUAGCGGUGAAAUGCGUAGAGAUCUGGAGGAAUACCGAUGGCGAAGGCAGCCAUCUGGCCUAAUACUGACGCUGAGGUACGAAAGCAUGGGGAGCAAACAGGAUUAGAUACCCUGGUAGUCCAUGCCGUAAACGAUGUCUACUAGCCGUUGGGGCCUUUGAGGCUUUAGUGGCGCAGCUAACGCGAUAAGUAGACCGCCUGGGGAGUACGGUCGCAAGACUAAAACUCAAAUGAAUUGACGGGGGCCCGCACAAGCGGUGGAGCAUGUGGUUUAAUUCGAUGCAACGCGAAGAACCUUACCUGGUCUUGACAUAGUAAGAACUUUCCAGAGAUGGAUUGGUGCCUUCGGGAACUUACAUACAGGUGCUGCAUGGCUGUCGUCAGCUCGUGUCGUGAGAUGUUGGGUUAAGUCCCGCAACGAGCGCAACCCUUUUCCUUAUUUGCCAGCGGGUUAAGCCGGGAACUUUAAGGAUACUGCCAGUGACAAACUGGAGGAAGGCGGGGACGACGUCAAGUCAUCAUGGCCCUUACGACCAGGGCUACACACGUGCUACAAUGGUCGGUACAAAGGGUUGCUACCUAGCGAUAGGAUGCUAAUCUCAAAAAGCCGAUCGUAGUCCGGAUUGGAGUCUGCAACUCGACUCCAUGAAGUCGGAAUCGCUAGUAAUCGCGGAUCAGAAUGCCGCGGUGAAUACGUUCCCGGGCCUUGUACACACCGCCCGUCACACCAUGGGAAUUUGUUGCACCAGAAGUAGGUAGUCUAACCGCAAGGAGGACGCUACCACGGGGGACC